rnacentral:misc_RNA from 1 species
CAACACCAUUGUAACCCGUCUUCCCUCCCACUCUACUCAUUAGAAUUCAAAAAUAGAAAACCUAAACAAAUACAUUAGCACAAACAUAUUCAAGAUGUCCGUCAAACCUUCCCCCCUAACACAACCAUACUAAAGCCUCCCUUUAGAGCUAAAGCUUCUGAAUAGAUAUCAUUACAACUACAACUCGGAGAAGGAGCAAUGUCUUUCAAAACAAGGAGACUCAAAAUUGGCGCCUCGGCCUUUCUUCUGCCACAGAAACACGGAUAUUUCGCCCAUCCAACUCUAUGCCAUCAAGUGAUGAGAUCGCAUUAUUGACUUCCUCAGCAGAGCUGUAAGUGACAAAACCAAAUCCCCUCGAUCGGCCACUCUCCCUGUCGUACACAACUUUGGCUUCCACGACCCUUCCUUGUUCAUUGAACAGGGACUCAAGAGAUGCAUUGUCAACUCCCCAAGAGAGGUUACCUACAUAGACCCUGUUGCUUGAACUGUAACCACCACCUCCGCCGCCACCACCACCGCUGGGCCCCGAUCGAAAUCCUCUCAUUGGGACUUCGUCUUUAGGCGGAGGUGGUCCUGCAUUCACCCUCAAUGCUCUCCCCCCAAGUUCAUAACCAUUGA